rnacentral:rRNA from 1 species
UACGUAGGGGGCGAGCGUUGUCCGGAGUUACUGGGCGUAAAGCGCACGCAGGCGGUCUGUUAAGUUUUGGAGUGACAGUUGGUGGCUUAACUGCCAAAAGUGCUUCGAAAACUGACAGACUUGAGGGCUUCAGAGGGACAGAAUUCCGGGUGGAGUGGUGAAAUGACGCAGAUAUCAGGAAGAACACCAAUGGCGAAAGCAGCUUUCUGGGACGGUACUGACGCUGAGACGCGAAAGCGUGGGGAGCGAACAGG